UACGUAGGGUGCAAGCGUUGCCCGGAAUUAUUGGGCGUAAAGGGCGCGUAGGCGGCUUGGCAAGUGGAAGGUGAAAUACCUCGGCUUAACCGAGGAACUGCCCUCCAAACUGCUUCGCUUGAGACCGGGAGAGGUGAGUGGAAUUCCCAGUGUAGCGGUGAAAUGCGUAGAUAUUGGGAGGAACACCAGUGGCGAAGGCGGCUCACUGGACCGGUACUGACGCUGAUGCGCGAAAGCGUGGGGAGCAAACGGG
rnacentral:rRNA from 1 species